AGCAGGAGAAGCGUUGAUACUUUCGGAAGUUUUCCAUCACAACGUUCACCAUUGACAUGGAUUCCUCGUAGUUCUUGCCGCACUUGGAAUCAUCCAGGCAGCACCCGAAGCGUGAGAACCGCACACCUCUGAGCCCUGGCACCACCAUAACAUGGACAUGGUAGUACACGUGGAAGAGGUUCCUCUUCUACUGUCUGCAAAAUGGCAGGGUUCCAUCUUAGCCCAGUGCCUGCUUGCCUGAAUUCCACUUGUCUGUGGCCAGAGCAGAAGAACAGCCAGCAUGGACUAAGCAGAAAAGCAAUAAGUUAACUUAUAAAAGAAAUGCAUUCACAUUAGUGGAAGACAGUUACCACUUAGGGAACAUUUAAUGCCCUGCCAGCAGCAACACUAAAUCGUGAAGCAGCAACAGCGAUAUCAAACGGUGUAUUUCUGCCUCGUGACCAGACCUUGCUGUACUGUCAGCUAAUGAGCACGGUGUGGGACAGAAUGACAUAAAUAACUGUUCUUGUUGGAGUAUCCCAGGAGCUCCGGCUGUACUCAGUGACUAAUCCAGCCAGCAAACGACCUUGAAUUUGGGGUUCCUCAUUACAGCAAGGGAAAACUGGACAAUGGGGAGCUGGUGUUAAUGUACUAAUGAGUUCAGGAAGACUGAUUGCUAAUGAUGCUGCAUUAAUGAUUUCACCUCUAUUUCUGGCCUUUCUCCUAAAUCUCCCUUGAGCUGAGGGCUGAGCAUCCCACUUGGUUUUUGAGUUAAAGAAGGAUCAUGCCUGGGACUGAUCUCACUGCACUCCACUGGCACAAACGUGGCUAAGAUGCUCCGUGUCCCAAGGAGAAACAUGAGACUGAUACGACUGAAGCUAUCACAUGUGGUGUAACUUAGCUACGUGCAGAAUACAGGGUCUUAUGGUUUUGUUUUCAAAGACAAACUUCUUUAAACUUCAGGUCAUCCCUUAUAAUUAUUAAAUCCCUCUGCCCAGUAUUACACAUUAGUCAAAGGGAUGUUCAGAAAAUUUGAGUCAUACUUCUUUACUACAUGAUGACAUCCAGUACAUACUCACUUCAAAAUUAAAUAUUCCAAGGUAACCUUUAAAUCAUCCAGAUUUGCAUGUCAUGAUCUUUUUUUCUCCAGUACUGAUUUUAUUUUUUGUGGAAAAAACUUCAAGCCUUAUUAUUCAAUUAUUCCUUUAAGCCCUCAGUUUCUUUCCCACCUGGCUCCAAGAGCUACCUGCCUCUUAUGAGUCUAGGUAUCCACACAGCACAGAUGCAGACUUUAUAGUCUAUUCUUCUCCUGUUCUUUUUUACUUCUCUUCCCUCUUUUUCCCCAAAGCCACUUCCUGUCCAUUUCUAUCUCCAUGAUAACUUGUUUCUCUCAUCCCAGGUGCAGUGAAUUCUGACUUAGCUGAUCAAAAUGACCACUUUUUGAAGAAAUUCUUGCAUACACAGAUCAGCUACAAGAGAGGGAGCUGCUGCUUGUUACUCCAUAUAAGAGAGUCGCAUCCUUUCUUCUUCAUCUGACCUUUUGGGCCACCUCCAAGAGCCCUGAGAAUGUGGCUCAGCUCCCUCAUUCACCCAAGGGCUGUGCCAGUUCCCCUGCUCUACCUGGCGGAGGCCACCUUCAGCUGGCAGUGUGAAAAACCAGCCCCACUACUCCCAAGUUUUGGUGCUUCUGGGUUUGUAAUCUAAGCACAAGGCAGUGCCUCUCUUUGCACAUCGCAGUUGCUGGGGAUAAUUGUCCCCUUUGCCUGUCAGGACUCUGUAGACAUUUUUAGCUUUCUGUGCUUUGUCAGUUGUAAAUUAAUUUGAAUCUACGUAGAAAGUGACACGUUGGACAAGUACUGUGUCAUCUCUGCUGUUCCUAGGGUUCAGAGAUCACCUGUAACAUGGGCUGGCUUUGGGAGGGUGUGCAGCAAGGUCAAGUGCUGGGUCACAAACCCCAUGUUGGAGAGCAGAGGUAGUGGCAGAUCCCAUCAGCAGGGACGUCCCCUCCAGCUCCGUGCAGCUAUGCCUCAGUGUCACACUUUCCAGAAAAAAAUCUGGUCUGAGAAUUGCAUGGUUUUUAAACAUCCCUGAAGAGAUUUUUCAUUUGAGGAAGGCAGCACUAAAACCUGUUAAAACCCUCCCUGUGUGGGAACACAAAGAGGAAGUGACAGGGAGGACACCAGCUGCCACAAAGGAGGAGUGGGCUGGAGAGUGCUGUGGUUGGGAAGAGGGGUGAAGGCAGGGAGAUACGAAUAACCAUGAGGCAGCACCCCAAGGAAAAGCAGAAACAGCCGGAGCAGAUAGGGCAAGAGUGGCUUUUCUCCCACCUAAAUCCUUGAGUGGCUCAAUCAUUUUUAUCUCCUUUGAGUCCGACCCUGUGCCAUCGAGAGCACCACUCAGAACAAAGCCAAGGCAGAGGCAAUGCUGAAAGGACGGCCCAGUGGGAGCUGAAUGCUCUGUCACUAUUUUUGAGUCCACAUUUGGAUUAGCUGUAAAGAGCUGUGUGGAUAAGCAAGCAGGCAAUUACAGCUGGGACGUGCUGCUCAUGAAUGGAAAUGGCUCCAAUCUGCUCGGGACAUAUUGAAAUUCUAAUUCAGUUAGAUUCCUUUAGUUACAGCGUGCAUCACAAGCACUAAAAGCGAUCGGAUUAAAAAAUAAAUACAAGUCGUAUGCUGUCCCUGGUCUGCCUUCACUGUUCUCCUUUCUCCCCCUUCCCUCCCCUAUGUUAGCUGUUGUUUGACUUUAUUUUCUGUGGCAAAAUAGAGUGGUCUGCAUUGAAUAGCUUGUUAAUUUUUAUGAGAGUCUGGCAGUCUGCAGCUGGCUGAACGUGCUCAUCGCUAACGGGUAGACAAAUCCAGAGAAUAACUGGGGUUUCACAUGUCAUGUCUUGCUAAAGGCCAUUACACAGCGGUGUUUGCAUUACUGCAAAAGUGCAGGUGUAAAACUGAGGUACAGAACUAAGGAAUGGCCUUGAUGGGGAAAGGCAGAUUUAAUAAUUCCGGGAUACAGACAGAACUGAGGCAUGGAGCUGUGAAAUAAGCAUCUCUAUGGCAAAGCCAAACACCCAGUUCUGAUCUCACAAGCAUCCUUCCUAAUUUUCUUAGUACAAAAGGGUAAAUUUUGCAGGAUAAAUACUCUGUUAUUUCUCAUCUUUUCAGAACACAUACCUCACUACCCAUAGCCAUUUGUUACUUGAAUACAAUCAGCUGUUGCAAUCAGCUUCACCAAAUACAAUUUUGCGUGCAAACACCGUAGAAGAAUACUGGAAAUAAUUUUUCAUGCAUUAAUUUCAUAUAAUUUCCACUUUGUGUCUUUAUUUUUUUUAAAUGCAAUUCUAUAGAGGAAACUGUCUAUUGGCUUUGGAGCCUAAGUCAUGGGCAAUACGGCUUCAUCACCAUAGACUGCUGAACUUCUUUUUUGUUUGCUUUGCCCACUGGUAGGGGUCUCCAGGUCCCUUGAUACAGACAGAAACUUCCUGUCUAAGCGGAAAAAACACUGCAAAAUCCUAAUUUUUACAGGAAAGGUGCAUGACCCAGAGAACAAUUUCCAGAAUAAGAAGAGGGAAGGAUUUCUGAUGGAUUCAUUUUCACAAACCAAAUCCAGCCUGGGGAAAAAGACUGAGAGAAAGUUAGAAAUGAAAUGGGGUACAAUAAGGCGGAAGAUUAGAAAGACAGGGAACAUAACAUAUAAGGUAAGAACAAAGUGCUCACAAAAGAGAGAGUAGAAAUGUCUACAUAUUCCACAAAAGUAGUCACAAAAUCUACUGAAGUAAUGGAAUGAAGUGGACAGGAAAUCUGGUGGAGUGAAGUGAGUCAAAUGACUACUGAGAUGAGGCUGAUGAGCUGUGUUUGGUACCAUGCUUGCGGUCUAUUGGGUAAAAAUCACCGUAAGAACCAAAUUGCCUGCUUUGUGGGUGAGUUCAGAGCAUGAUAUGCUGAAUGGUACAGCAGACAUAGCCUCCUUAAAACACCAAUAGAUUGAGAGCUUAUGAAUCUCUGUAUAGAUGUGUUCUUGUAAUAUACUUUUUAGCAUAAAACCAAUUUUUCUUGAGAAAAAAAGAUGAUGACAAAGAACAAAAGCAAAGUCUCUGUAAGAGGGAACAAUGUGCCUAUGCCCUCUAUGCAGUUUUGAAACAACAAAGAGAACAAAAUCUCUGCAGUCCUCCGAGGCCAGCAAUGCUCUGAACAGUGAAAGGGCCAUGUCCCCAAAACAAAAGCCCGAUGUAUUUUGGUCUAGAAGUGAAAACAAUGGCAAGAACAGGCACAGAUGCUUCCAUUCCUCAUAUGGCAAUAAUCUAUAUUAAUUACAGCAAGUGUCCAGCUUCGAGCAAUGUCACUGCAGUGCUAUUAAUGUUGGAGACUAUUGAGUUUCUAAGGAAGUGAAUGUCUUUUUCUCUCCCUAAUCAUGAUUACUUGGUUUAGUACUUGAGCUAAGCUUUUAUUUAACCAAGAUAAAUGGGUAUUUCCAAAACCAGGCUGUUAACAAUAUACAUCACAUUAUUACUCUUCUCUAAAAUUUCUUGCCUUGUUUGCUAUUUUACAUAGCUGCUAGACACAAAUAACAAUAAGGAGGAGCUGUGCAGAACUCCUUAAGGAUUAAAGAUUAAAAAAAAUUAAUAAAUCUGAUUUUGACUCAUUACUUCCAUCUAUA